rnacentral:lncRNA from 1 species
AUCCAUCUAGAUUUCAGACGGUCGGAUCGCAACAGGGGUCUGGAUCACAAUCACAUCAUGGGUCUAGAUCGAUGCAGGGAUGUGGAUCACAACCAUCUUCAUUUGAGAACCCGUCUACCUCUCCAUAGAGUUCAUCUCCUAGCAUUUCUAGACAUCGUGUUCGGGAUAGUAGCACUGAGCCAGAUGCCCCCUCUUCUGCAUAUGCUUCAGAUGAUGCGGAUGAUGUGAGUUAUGAUCAUUACAAAGGUUGAUCAUCAGGCCUGAGAGCAAUGGGUACGAUUUAUUUAUUACUUCUUUAUUUUUGCCGAAUUAUAAAAGCUAUUGCACAUGCUUCAGAUGAUCUGGAUGAUGAUGUGGAUGAUGUGCGUUAUGAUCAUUACCAUAGGUUGAUCAUCAGGCAUGAGGGCAAUGGGUAAGAUUUAUUUAUUACUUCUUUAUUUUUGCCGAAUUAUAAAAGCAACUCUUAUUUAUUUAAUGUAAUUGCAAUGUUGCAGGUUUAUUCCAAAUAGGAUGGUUACAAAGAUAAUCACUGAUAUACUUGGCACGUUGUAUUUGACACCCUAUCAGACUUGGAGUGACUUUCCAGAAAGUCUCGUGCGACAGAUGUUCAACCAAUUUAAGGUUUUAAUACAAUUAUUAUUUAUUUAAGCAUCAUAUUAAUAAUAUUUUCUUCUAAUGUUACUUACUUUAUUUGCAGACUAAGUGUUCCUGGAAGGACCAGUAUAACUGUGAAAUUUAUAAAAAUUGGGAGUACAAAUUGCGUAAGAGACUCUCUGAUUCCUUUAGCUCGGCUCGAAAGCUUAAAAAGAAGCCUUCAU